rnacentral:lncRNA from 1 species
UCGACUUGAGAUCUGUGGGAGUUGACUUGAGCACUAUGUCUAAAAAAUAGGCUCUCUAUCUUUUCUAAAAGAGUCAACUCAAGCUCUAUGAGAGUCAACUCGAGGUCUAUUCCAGUGUCAUUUCGCAUGUUAGAGUUGACUUAAGAUCUACUGGAGUCGACUCAACUUCCUCAAUUCAGUCUUUCUCACUUGAUUUACAUCCAAACUUGAUGUUUUUUUGACUCAAAAUCUUCUCAAGUAUUUUCAAAUGACUUCAAAACUAAUCACAAAGAUUACUUCCUACAAAAAUAUUCUCAACCAUCCUUCAAAGACAUUAGUCUCUUUUAUACUUCAAUAUUAUGUAAUCAUCAAAAUCAUUCCUUAGAUCAACAGUCAGUGAAGACAAUCACCGAAUAGCCUUCAAAGUAUGGUUGGAGUCAUUGUGCAGUACUAACCAGCAUGUAGAUCAUCUUCUCAGCCUUAGAGUAUCUUAUUUCUACAUCCUAGAGAAGCUUGCUGGUAUAAUAAAUUGGCCUUUGGUUCCCUAUAUCUUCUCAGACCAAUACAGCUUUGACAUUAAUAGGUG